AGAUUGAACGCUGGCGGCAUGCCUUACACAUGCAAGUCGAACGGCAGCACGGGAGCAAUCCUGGUGGCGAGUGGCGAACGGGUGAGUAAUAUAUCGGAACGUGCCCAGUCGUGGGGGAUAACGUAGAGAAAUUUACGCUAAUACCGCAUACGAUCCAAGGAUGAAAGCGGGGGACCGUAAGGCCUCGCGCGACUGGAGCGGCUGAUAUCAGAUUAGCUUGUUGGUGAGGUAAAGCUCACCAAGGCGACGAUCUGUAGCUGGUUUGAGAGAACGACCAGCCACACUGGGACUGAGACACGGCCCAGACUCCGUACGGG
rnacentral:rRNA from 1 species